rnacentral:sRNA from 1 species
UAUUAGAUAUUUAUUAUUUAAUCGCACUUAUCGGCGGUUUGGUUCUUGCCGGCCCUUUGAUCUUCGUAAUGGUCAUGAAAUCAAGAGAUAGAACCAAAAAAAUGAGUUUUUAUAAACUCAUUUUUUACU